CCUACGGGAGGCAGCAGUGAGGAAUAUUGGUCAAUGGGCGCGAGCCUGAACCAGCCAAGUAGCGUGAAGGAUGACUGCCCUACGGGUUGUAAAUUCCUUUUAUAAAGGAAUAAAGUGAGGCACGUGUUCCUUAUUGUAUGUACUUUAUGAACAAGGAUCGGCUAACUCCGGACCAUCAGCCGCGGUAAUACGUAGGAUCCGAGCGUUAUCCGGAUUUAGUGGGUUUAAAGGGAGCGUAGAUGGGUUGUUAAGUCAGUUGUGAAAGUGUGCGGCUCAACCGUAAAAUUGCAUUUGAUACUGGCAGCCUUGAGUACAGUUGAGGUAGGCGGAAUUCGUGGUGUAGCGGUGAAAUGCUUAGAUAUCAGGAGGAACUCCGAUUGCGAAGGCAGCCUACUAAACUGCCACUGACAUUGAUGCUCGAAAGUGUGGGUAUCAAACAGGAUUAGAUACCCGUGUAGUC
rnacentral:rRNA from 1 species